rnacentral:lncRNA from 1 species
CUGAUUUCGAGGCCAGCCUGGUUUACAGAGUGAGUUCCAGGGCAGCCAGGACUGCACAGAGAAACCCUGUUUAGGAAAACAAACAGAUGUCAGUCCCAAGCUUUGCCCUUUGUGACGACUACUUCAUUUUGUCCUCACAGCAAAACCAGAAAUGAGAAGCCUCAGUGAGAUUCCCCAUUUUACAGUGAGAAACAAGCACGGUGUGUGCACUCUGUACAUCGGAAACCAGAGCCUGAAGUUGAACUUGGGUCCUUUCCAGCAUCACAAGACACAGAAGUCCUGGGGCAGCAGGGACACUUUUGACACCUCCCACCUGUAUGUCCACCUCAGGCUGUGCCCUCCAUGCCUUUCCUGCCCCAGACUCCAGGAACUUGCCCAACUCUCUGCCACAUUCCUGGCAUGGCUGUUGCAGAACUUCCGGUGGCCUUGUAAGAACAGGAUCACUCUUUGGCCACCUGGCCCUUGGAAUUCCAACAUUGCUCUGUGAAAGCUGGGGAGACUGACACCUACAGAACAAAGCUACCUGAUACUAAGGGGUAAGAUGGGCUUUGAACUCAAGCCUAAACUGAUUCCAGAACUCAUACUCACAUAUCCAUUCAUCAUCAUUUUAAUUAUUAAUAAUUAUUAAUUAAGAAUAAUAAUUAUUGUAUUCCAGGCUGGCCUCAAAUCCACUAUGCAGCCAGGGAUGACUGAACCUCUGACCUCCAGCCCCAGCUCCUGAGUGCUGUUUUAUGAGGUAUGAGGAAUCAAACCCAGGACUUCUUCAUGCAUGUGAGCACUCUGUCAACUGAGUUAUACCCCAGGCCCUCAUUUAUUUUUUUUCAGCUAGAUCUCACUCUUUGGCUCAGGAUAGUUUCGAACUUGAGAUCAUUCUGCCUCUGCCACCCAAAACGCUGCCGUUCCUGGCCUGUGCCACUAGUCCCAGAAGAUCACUGCUGUUUAACUCGGUUGUUCUGGUGGUGUGUGUGUAGGAUUUGAUCACACCUGGCGUGCUCCUCUUUACACUUCUGGCUUCUCACACUGGGACCCUUUGGAGACUUUGUCUUCCUCCCCCUCCUCCCUCUACACCACACAGGACACAGCCCAUGCUAAGCUUCCUGCACAUGUGAUCAAGGUCUGGGCCUCUUUCUCAGCUCUGGUCCAGAGCUGGUGAGCAAGGCUUCAGGACCAAGGCCCCUGCAGAGCCCUUAUCAUCCAGCCCCACACAUCCCAGAGAGCCUGGGAUGGGCAGCCCACCCUGAUCCCAGCCCCACACAAACCCUGUUAUCAGGGGACACAUUCCAACCCAUGCUCUGUCCUCUUGCACUGGGUAAGAUAGAGCCUGUUGUCUUCCGGCCAAGUGGGAAGGGGCACAGGAAAGCAGAGGUUAUCUCAGCAGGAAGCCACACUGCUGGGCUGUUUCUUCAACCAGCUUGAGAAAACACCUUGGGGCUGCCCUUUUGGGCCAGCCUCAGCCAGAAGGUAGCUGGCUCGGGACCCCUGCUGGGGCUGAGGUCAGGAGGCUAUGUGUCUGUUCCCAGGAACCAGGAGGUGGCUUCCCUGACCUGGGGAGGCUCCUGAACACUUUUCUCCGGGCCUGGCUUGUCCCUACACCCAGGAAGCACGUGGUCUGUGGGAGGGUCCUCAGCACAGCUAGUGAAGGUGCAGAGCAGGGCUGCUUAGUGGAAAGUUUAGAGUCAUGAAUCAGAGCCUCAAUUUUAUCAUACUUUUCUUUUCUUUUGACAGGGUCUCUCAUUUGUUGUUCUUGCUGUCCUGGAGCUUGCUCUAUAGACCAGGCUGGCCUCCAACUCUCAGAGAGGCACCUGCCUCUGCCUCUGCCUCCCAAGUGCUGGAAUAAAAGGCAUAUGCCACUAUGCUGAGCUUCA